AUUGAACGCUGGCGGCAGGCUUAACACAUGCAAGUCGAACGAUGACUCUCUAGCUUGCUAGAGAAGAUUAGUGGCGGACGGGUGAGUAACAUUUAGGAAUCUGCCUAGUGGUGGGGGAUAGCUCGGGGAAACUCGAAUUAAUACCGCAUACGACCUACGGGUGAAAGGGGGCGCAAGCUCUUGCUAUUAGAUGAGCCUAAAUCAGAUUAGCUAGUUGGUGGGGUAAAGGCCCACCAAGGCGACGAUCUGUAACUGGUCUGAGAGGAUGAUCAGUCACACCGGAACUGAGACACGGUCCGGACUCCUACGGGAGGCAGCAGUGGGGAAUAUUGGACAAUGGGGGCAACCCUGAUCCAGCCAUGCCGCGUGUGUGAAGAAGGCCUUUUGGUCGUAAAGCACUUUAAGCAGGGAGGAGAGGCUAAUGGUUAAUACCCAUUAGAUUAGACGUUACCUGCAGAAUAAGCACCGGCUAACUCUGUGCCAGCAGCCGCGGUAAUACAGAGGGUGCGAGCGUUAAUCGGAAUUACUGGGCGUAAAGCGAGUGUAGGUGGCUCAUUAAGUCACAUGUGAAAUCCCCGGGCUUAACCUGGGAACUGCAUGUGAUACUGGUGGUGCUAGAAUAUGUGAGAGGGAAGUAGAAUUCCAGGUGUAGCGGUGAAAUGCGUAGAGAUCUGGAGGAAUACCGAUGGCGAAGGCAGCUUCCUGGCAUAAUAUUGACACUGAGAUUCGAAAGCGUGGGUAGCAAACAGGAUUAGAUACCCUGGCAGUCCACGCCGUAAACGAUGUCUACUAGCCGUUGGGGUCCUUGAGACUUUAGUGGCGCAGUUAACGCGAUAAGUAGACCGCCUGGGGAGUACGGCCGCAAGGUUAAAACUCAAAUGAAUUGACGGGGGCCCGCACAAGCGGUGGAGCAUGUGGUUUAAUUCGAUGCAACGCGAAGAACCUUACCUGGUCUUGACAUAGUGAGAAUCCUGCAGAGAUGCGGGAGUGCCUUCGGGAAUUCACAUACAGGUGCUGCAUGGCUGUCGUCAGCUCGUGUCGUGAGAUGUUGGGUUAAGUCCCGCAACGAGCGCAACCCUUUUCCUUAUUUGCCAGCGGGUUAAGCCGGGAACUUUAAGGAUACUGCCAGUGACAAACUGGAGGAAGGCGGGGACGACGUCAAGUCAUCAUGGCCCUUACGACCAGGGCUACACACGUGCUACAAUGGUAGGUACAGAGGGUUGCUACACAGCGAUGUGAUGCUAAUCUCAAAAAGCCUAUCGUAGUCCGGAUUGGAGUCUGCAACUCGACUCCAUGAAGUCGGAAUCGCUAGUAAUCGCAGAUCAGAAUGCUGCGGUGAAUACGUUCCCGGGCCU
rnacentral:rRNA from 1 species